rnacentral:rRNA from 1 species
UACGUAGGGGGCAAGCGUUGUCCGGAUUUAUUGGGCGUAAAGAGCGUGUAGGCGGCCAGACAGGUCCGUUGUGAAAACUCGAGGCUCAACCUCGAGACGCCCGAUGGAAACCGUCUGGCUAGAGUCCGGAAGAGGAGAGUGGAAUUCCUGGUGUAGCGGUGAAAUGCGCAGAUAUCAGGAAGAACACCCGUGGCUAAGGCGGCUCUCUAGUACGGUACUGACGCUGAGACGCGAAAGCGUGGGGAGCGAACAGGAUU